AGCCACAGUGGGAGCUCCGGGCCUCUUUUGUUAUCAUUUACCUUAUCCUCUGAAGGGGGAAGGGAUCUGAGACGGCACUUUUAUUCCCUAAGAGCAAGUGGAGCUAAAAGUCGGAACCUAAAACUUUCUGACUUACUAAGUGUACCUUACGUGCUCUGUGACUUGGGGAGAGUAUGUGCACAGAGGCUAGGCAUUCAGUAGCUGGGCAGACAGCUUACAAAGUAGUUAGUUAGUCCUCUGUUUGCAGCAGGAAGCACGGAUGGAUUACAUGAUCAUUGAUGUCUCAGGAAAUUAAGGCCAAUCAGCUUUAUACAAAAAAAACCCAAAGGCUACGGGACAAAGAGGUCCAUUUAUUGUGGUUUUGUUGUUGUUGGUUAAUAUUGAAUAUACGCUGCUAGAUUUUUUUUCCUGGUUGUAUUAUACCUAACAUUUAUUCCAAAGAUACAUCUUUUAUCUUUUGCUUGUGUGUAUCCCAGCCAAGCCACCAUUUAGCAGGAAACCUGUUGAGUGACUUUUUCUUAGACACUGCUGCCAAGUCCUACAUCUGAAGGCUGUGUCUUCUAGCCUUGCUAAAAUAUGAAUUCAGCUUCUACUGAGUAAAUAUUGAGCAAGAUCAACCUUUAUGAGUAGCUGACAGUUCUCAUAUUUUUUAAGAAACGUAGCACAAAAUGUUUUUAGUACAUUUCUUGGUGAAAAUAAGUCCUUGCCAGAAUUAUAGUAUUGCAUAUAGUCAGUCGUUAUGAAAGAGCCACGUUUUAUCAUUUAUUUUCAUUAGAAAACAUGGUGAUUUUUACCAAGGAGUCCCCACAUAAUCAUGCCUGCUUACUUUAGUGGCAGGCAGUGGGUUGGCAAUAAAAAUAGUUGGUCAGAAUAUUGAAGAGGUAUUUUUAGAAAUACUGACGGGGUAUAACUUCUAAUGAUUUGCUUUGGGGAACAUCAGUAAUAUUCAAGAAGAUGGUUUGUUUUGUUUUGUUUUGUUUUUCCAAUUUCAUGUAUAACAUUUCCUCAAAUAGUCUUGCUUGUAAAUUUUUGGCGGAACUGGGAAGGCGCGAUUACUGGUUCAUUUCCUUCAUGUUGGUUAUCUCUGUGGACGAAGGUGAAAGGGGAGUGGGUGGAGAAGGAACUAAGAUUUGAGUAAAAACAUGUACAGAUUGGAAAAUGUUUGCUUUUAAUAUUUGGUUCACCGUCAGCCAGAAUGUCUGCAAAUAAGUAUUAAGAUAACUGAGUUACAUGAACUGAGUUUUUCGUUUCACCUGCAUAAUAGCAAUUAAACACAUUUUUAAGACAACAAUAGUAUUUGUGUUAACUACUCUUUUCACGGAUUAAUAUUCAAGCAAACAAGAGGGUAUUUGUGUCUGUGUGUGAAAAAGUUCAAUAUUAAUAACAUACUUGGGACAAAGGUAAUGAGUUCCCAUGUGGGGCAAUGGGUUAAGGGUUCGGUGUUAUCACUACAAAGGCUUGGGUCCCUGCUGUGCUGCAGGUUUGAACCCUGGCCCAGAAACUUCUACAUGCCACAGGCAUGCCCCCCGCCAAAGUAACCUGUUUGUACUGUUGGGUAACAGUUACCUUGGUAAGCUUCAUACAUCUUACUAUGUAUUUAUUUCAUUCAUAAGUAGCACUUUUGAAGAGCUAUAUCCUGUUUUAAGUACUUGACAGAUAUUCGUUCAUCCACUCUUAAUUCCUUUAAUGGUUAAUCGUGUAUUCCAGUAAUUGGAGACUGUGGAAGAAAGCUUGGGUGUAUUCUGCGUGUGUUUUUUCUACACUGUUUAUUUCUGUUGUUGUUUGGUUGGUUAGUGUGGCCCUGGGAACUCAGGGCUGGCAGCAGAUCCCUUGUAGAACUUGUCGUUCCACUUUUCAUGCUCAGAACGUGUGAAAGGUUCAGUCUUGAGAUGGUACAAAGCUUGGACUGAACUAGUUUCUGUGUUCAAAUUAGAGACCUUAACGUUUCCAGGAAAAUAAGGCAUUCGAUGCAUAAAUAGAAGUGAUGCCUGUCCCAUCUCUCUUUGGUUUCAUUAACUGCCUUUUCAAUUGAUGGCGAUCAAGUAAGUUCGGUCACCCCACAGAAGCGGGACUCCACGGACGUCUCUCUGCCAUUGCCGAGCCGCUUGUCCUAACCUGUUUUUUGUUCUUUCCCUGGUCCGUCCUUCCCUUCUCGCCAACGCCCAGACCCCAGAGAAGCCUCCUUCCGCAUCUGCACCUCCAAGGUACCGUGUGCGGGUUUCUCCCCAUCUGCACAACAUGUUCGCUUUGUUUGCUCCCAAAUGGGGAAACGCCAGCCUCUUGUCGUACUUUCAGAGCUUCUUCGUGGGGAGAUGGAGGUGGAGGAGCCCCGUUAAAAGAAAGGACCUGUUUCAUAUUUUGGAAGCUUCCAUCAGCCCUGGAGAGGUUGUUCACUCUCUAAAAGAGGCAGCGUCCCCGCAUCCCCCUAAACCUGAUCAGUUCCUUAGGUUUAAAAUGUGCGUGUUCAACGAUAAAUCACUUUCACCAGGAUAAUCGCAACCAGCAUUUGAACAGUUAUACUGACCAGCCCCGUGUUUUCAUCAAAGUGACAGAUGGGCUGUGUUUUCGAACAUUCAAGCUGAACUAGUUCUAGAAAUUGAUUCCCCUCGUGCCUGUCUUCGUCGUUCUCCGUGAACUUUCGAAUCUUUUCAGCUGCUUUAGGAAAGGGCCCGCAGCACAGUUUAGUGAGACGGAACGCGGCACUGAUUGCGCUUUGUACACAGCUCGCCGUGUUUGAGAAAACGUCCUGCUCGGGGUUUGGGCAAUGGGAACUCCCUGAACCAGCCUGAUUUACCAUUUCCUCUGGUACUGAAUCGAGUGAUUCGAUACGCCAGCACCUGUCUUCCAGGAACAGAGUUAAAUGACCCCCGAGCUGUUUGAUUCCCUUGAGAUGUGGUCACCCGUUCGGGGACCAGCUCAGCGCUGAAAAGCUUCCCCUGGGACAGCUGAGGUUGUAGUUACUGCGGAGGAUGGUCGUGGAAUUAUGUGAGGUCUUAAGGCUUCAUAACCUCUGCUUAUUUGUUUAUAUCUCACUUUGCUCAGUGAUUUCUGGUGGCUUGUAAUGACCCAGAAAAUAUGACAAGGUAAACCUAACUUCAAAGGGGAUGGGGGGG
rnacentral:lncRNA from 1 species